AUGGCGUCCAUCGUCGUGCAGGUGUCCGCCCUGCUCCUCAACCUCAUCGCCUUCGGCCUCGCCGUCGCCGCCGAGCAGCGCCGCAGCAAGGCCACGGUGACGCCGGAUCUGGCCAAGGAGUACGACUACUGCGUCUACGACUCGGACGUCGCCACCGGCUACGGCGUCGGCGCGCUCCUCCUCCUCACCGCUGCGCAGGUCGUCGUCAUGCUCGCCAGCCGGUGCUUCUGCUGCGGGCGCGGGCUCAAGCCGGGGGGCUCGCGCGCCUGCGCCCUCAUGCUCUUCCUCUUCUCAUGGCUGACCUUCCUCGUCGCAGCGGCGUGUUUGCUGGCAGGAUCAGUCCGCAAUGCAUACCACACCAGGUACAGGGGGAUCUUCAACGGUGACCCGCUCUCUUGCGAGACGCUGCGCAAGGGCGUCUUCGCUGCUGGUGCAGCCUUCACCUUCUUCACGGCCAUCCUCAGCGAGUUCUAUUACAUCAGCUACUCCAAAUCCCGGGAUGCCGCCGGCGGCGCUCCAUACGGCGGCUCCAGCAUCGGCAUGGGCCCUUACAAUUAA
rnacentral:rRNA from 1 species